UCCCUGAUGAUUCAGUGGUUAGGGCUCAGCAAUUCCACUGCCGUGGCCCCGGGUUCAAUCCCUGAUCAGGGAA
rnacentral:tRNA from 1 species